AGACUCGACGCUUCGCGUCUCGUGUUUAAUUCAGCCGGUUUCAGGCAUGAGUGGCAUAAAAUACUUGAACUGAUUAGUCAAUGUGUUAUCUAUUCCAAAUUCAAAAAGUUAACUACACCUUCAAGAGGUUAUUCAAUAUCGAUUUAAAAGUUAAAUUAGCGUAUUUAGUUUAGUUUAACCACUUUACUAAUGAAAUGUUUAUAGCUAAUAAAAAUUGUCGAUAUCGAAAAGCUGAAUAUGGAAAUGGUGAACGAUAUAAAGAGACAGCGCGUGAGUUAAGCUCAAUAAUCGUCAUCACUCCGAUACUUGGCCUUACUGUUAAUAGUGUUGUGUGAUCAAAGUGAAAUAUCCUAUUCUUCAAGAGUUCUUGGUGUAUCUUCAAUGGCAUUAAAAACUCAUUUUCCUAUAUUAGAAGUACUGAUGAACGAGUUGACAAGACGAGGGCAUGACGUUCACGUGAUCGGGAUGUUUCCUCGCAAUAACUCACUAUCUAAUUAUAGAGAUAUCGAUAUUAGGUAAUUAUAGAGAAAUCGAUGUUGAAGCGCUGAAUAUGAAGGUGAGAGGUCAAUCCAUCUAAUUUGUCAAAUGUUCUGAUGAAAUAUAUGCUCUACUCUCUAAUUAAUCAAGAGGUAUACGCGUCAAAUUAUUAUACAGCCUUUGGACGACAUCUUCAUGGUAUAAUAACCCAGAAAAUAACGGAUUGGCUUGUAUGAUCUCAUGGAAACUCACUGAACUCUUGGUACACAAAGUACCAAUGGUUGGCAUUCCCAUGUUUGUGGGCAACCUAACAGCUGACUCACUCGCCAAGAUUCUUAAAAAUGUGGUCAAUGAUUUACUUUCUUAAAAAAUUUUGUCUAAAAUUUCUGAUAUACUUUUUGGAAAUUUUUAUCGAAUUUAACUACCACUGAAAUUUCAAGGAAUUUCGUCAUUGAAAAUCCAGAAUUUCGUGGAAAAAUCAAAGAGGAGAGAGAACUGUAAAUGUCAGUUCUAUUUUGCUCUAAAAAUGAAUAGAAAACCAAAAAAUUCCGUGUAUGUUACAGAUGUCUUAUUGAAAUCCUCCACUACCUAAUCUCCAUCCUCUGAUCAUUGAUUACAAUUUCCGGCAGAAUGCAGAAAGAAUGUUGAAGCUGUUCCUGGAUCGACCAAACAAGUCCUGUAGACACCACUGUCUACUGGGCUGAAUAUAUCCAGCUCGACGCAGAACAGCUGCUGAAUCUCCAAUCAAUCAUUCAACUUAGCAAUAAUUCUAUCUGUUAUACUGGAUACUGAGAAUAAUUACGCAUCAUUUGA